UACUCUACUUUAAUAUAAGUAGAAGAUGCUAUAUUGGAUUAGAAGGAGAGUUAAAAAGAAUUUGGUAAUAAAGAAAGGAAGAUGCCAAAACAAAGCUUGCUUCACUAGAUGGAAACUAGAAUUAUUGAGUUGUCAUGUCCUUUUUUUAAAGUGUAAACUGGGGGUAAAGAAUAGUCCCCACCGACAUGUUACCCUUUGUUUAUCCAGCUUAAAGAAAGCUCUUUCAAAUACAUCUUAUUCUCAAUUAACUUCCAUAGUUUCUCAACCUGGUUCCCAGCUAACCACAUUUACAAGAAACUAGGUUUUCCUAAGUACACAAGAAAAUAUGGCUACAGAAGCACCAAGCUGGGCAGAUCAAUGGGGUGCUGGAGGAAUAGGUGCCAUGGGGGAAGAAGACAACAGUAAUACCCAAAAAGAAAACGGCAAUAACAAGAAGGGCAAUGCAAAAGGUGGGCUUGACAAAGCCAAAGCAACUGCAAUGGUGGGAGCACAAAAGAUUAAGAGCGGGGCAUCUGCUGGCAUCAAAUGGGUCAAGAAUCAAUGCCAGAAAAAAAGCACUUCCUCUUCUAAAUGAACAUGCAGAUUGUUUAAUUUCCAUUUUAUUAAAAAGCAGAAUCAAUGGAAUGUUUGCAGUUUGUACUACUGUUGAAUUUGAAUGCAGACCAUGGUUUUAUGGAGUCA